GGAUCUACUUACCAACGCAGAAAAUGAUACACACGGAUUCGAUUUAGGCUGGAGUACAGUAACUGCAACCUCCGCCUCCCAGGUUCCGGUGAUUCUCAUGGCUCAGUCUCCCAAGGAGCUGGGAUUACAGGCACGCUACAUUCAAAUGACUUGGAAGAGCAGGUUCUCUGAGCCAGGAUACUAAAGUCCCUGUUUAGGAAAGAGCCACGUUGUAUGUUUACCCUACCACAAAGAUACAGUCAUGUGCCUGGGAAAGAUUGAUGCCAGCUCCAGAAAGGCAUCCGAAUGGUCUAAGUAAUGCCAUCCAUCUGUCAGUAAUAGAUUCAGAAAUGGGUAUGUGAUUCAAGUCUGGCCAAUGAGAUGUAUGCAGAAGAGUGCUGGGUAUUCUGGAAAAUUAUCCCUUGUCAUUCAGAGAUCCACAGGAAUCCAGCCUUUUGCUCCUUGAAUGGGAUAAGGAAGCACAUAA
rnacentral:lncRNA from 1 species